rnacentral:lncRNA from 1 species
GAAAAGUAUUCAUUGGAUGAAUUUUUCAUCAGGCUGUGGUAAAACAGAAAUAAAGAAUUAAGAACUAAAGGGAAGCUGCUACCCUGAAGGAUGCAAGAGCUGCUGUUGCCCUGGUGAUUGCUCCUUGGAGUCUGGGUUUCACAGGCAUUCCUUGAUUCUCCUCAGGUCUUUGCAUUUCUGUAAACAGCCUCUGUGGACAAAGGCCACAAAUUAAGUGCAAAGAAAUGAAACUGGCUGUGUGAUGGUAUUAAAAGUGUGGCAGGGAGCUGAGGCUGGGUCUGGUGUGACAGUGACCUUAUUCUGACCUUUUCCUUGCAAGACUGAACCAGAGUUUAUGAUGAAAUUUGGUACCAGGCUUUUGACACAGCAGUUUUUUGCGAAGUGCCCCAGACUGAUCUUGAUGUUUAUCACAGAUGUAUUUGCUGUAACCCUGAAUAGCAGGAGCCUUUCAUGGGUACAGAGCCAAGAAACUAUAAUUUCACAAAGUCUGCUAGCAAGAAGUGGAUCCUCAAGAGAUGUGGAUUGCCAAAAUGUGCAAAGUGGGUAUUGGUGGAAAUGUUAUUACUCAGAUUUUCUGUGGGAUAAAGGUUUAGAUUGAAUAGGUGAUUCAUUAUCACUUAAACAAUUUGUGUUGCUGUAUAGCAUAUAGGAAAU